rnacentral:lncRNA from 1 species
AACUACUACUGUCACCUAAGUAGUAAAACCGGAACAAGUAAAAUCAAACAAAAAUUCAAAGAGCCAUGACACCAAAUCUGGCAAUUAGAAAGAUAAGUAAAGUUAGAGUGUGAUUUUUUAAUAGCAACAAUUCCUUUCUUACUCUUGAAUUAGUACAGAACCUCUGCACAAGAUCAGCUAACAACAGCAAAACAACGAAAAUAAUCACAAACCACAAAUGAAACCAACCCAACUUCUUAAUCCAAAAGAAAAUGACAGAACCCACGUCGUGUGACUCCAAAUUCAUGCUAUCCAAACCAUGUUAUGAAAUUGAAGGGAGAUAGCAAUUAACAAUAGCGAGGACGUCAUUAACAGAGCAUCGUAAUAAACAAAAACAGAAGAUGUAAAUGAAAGAAUCGAAACUCAGACCUUAAACCGGGAAUAGAGAUUAACGAUCUCAAAUAGAACCUCAACGGAAGCACUCGACGGUGCUUCGGACAGUACCGCAAGCAGCAAACUCAAAGUUGACGUCUCCGGUGAGAUCUCGAAACCAAAACAAAAGCAGAAACCUUAGCGACCUCCUCUUGAGCUUUCUCGAAUGAGAUCGGCGGCAGUGAAUUAGGAAAUCGGGGGUUAAGGGUUAGGGUUAUUUAUGAGUUUUGAAGGGGUGGAGUGGUCGUUGCAUUUUGCUCUAGAUUCUAGCGAUUUAGGGUGGUCCUUUUGGGUGUGUUGAUGGCUGAAAAAAAAUGAAGACUUAGGUUUUUCAAUUCUAAGGAAUUCAAAAGCCAUAGGAACAGAGCACGGACAUGGUCAUACUUGAUACCUGAUUCUUCUUGGGGGUGGUUGUCUACGGCAUGAGGGUGUCAUUUGGUCGGAGAAGAAGAA